rnacentral:rRNA from 1 species
UACGGGGGGGUGCGAGCGUUUGUCCGGAAUCACUGGGCGUAAAGGGCGCGUAGGUGGUUUGAUAAGGGUGUGGUGAAAGUCCGGAGCUCAACUCCGGAUCUGCCGUGCCGACUGUCAAACUCGAGGGCUGUAGAGGCAGACGGAAUUCCGGGUGUAGCGGUGGAAUGCGUAGAGAUCCGGAGGAAGACCGGUGGCGAAGGCGGUCUGCUGGGCAGUUUCUGACACUGAGGCGCGACGAGCGUGGGGAGCAAACAGGG